UUAGAGAGAUGUAUUAUUCAUUUAAAAUAUAUAAAGAAACAAUAAAAAGGAAGAACUAUAUAUAAAAAAUGAAAAAUGAAAAAAUAAAAAUAGUUAAACCUAGUUAAGAUCUUACAUGCUAUAGUUCAAUAUUAAACCUAAAAUGAACUCUAUGCUAUACACGUCUCUUCACAUGGAAGCGUCCUUGCUUCUCCUCCAAUGGUAGCCAUCACCACCAAAA
rnacentral:lncRNA from 1 species